rnacentral:tRNA from 1 species
AAUGUUUUAGUAUAAGUAGUAUAACCGUGUUUGGGGCGGGGGGUGUUAAUGUUG